GGGUAGCAUGAAAGUAGCAAUACUUUUGAUGACGACCGGCGCACGGGUGAGUAACGCGUAUGCAACCUACCUACUACAGGGGAAUAGCCCGAAGAAAUUCGGAUUAAUGCCGCAUAAUACAGGGGCACCGCAUGGUGAUAUUUGUUAAAGAUUAAUUGGUAGUAGAUGGGCAUGCGUUCCAUUAGCCAGUUGGUGAGGUAACGGCUCACCAAAGCAACGAUGGAUAGGGGAACUGAGAGGUUUAUCCCCCACACUGGUACUGAGACACGGACCAGACUCCUACGGGAGGCAGCAGUGAGGAAUAUUGGUCAAUGGGCGAGAGCCUGAACCAGCCAAGUCGCGUGAAGGAUGACUGCCCUAUGGGUUGUAAACUUCUUUUGUACUGGGGUAAAAAAGAGGACGUGUCCUUUCUUGCAAGUACAGUACGAAUAAGCAUCGGCUAACUCCGUGCCAGCAGCCGCGGUAAUACGGAGGAUGCGAGCGUUAUCCGGAUUUAUUGGGUUUAAAGGGUGCGUAGGCGGGGAUUUAAGUCAGCGGUGAAAGUUUGAGGCUCAACCUUAAAAUUGCCGUUGAAACUGGGUUUCUUGAGUGUAUUUGAAGUAGGCGGAAUUCGUUGUGUAGCGGUGAAAUGCAUAGAUAUAACGAAGAACUCCAAUUGCGCAGGCAGCUUACUAAACUACAACUG
rnacentral:rRNA from 1 species